AGAGUAUAUAGAGGUAGCGGUGCGAAUGAGUACCUUGGUGAGCCGGCAGGCGUCGAACCAAGCGAAAGGUAAUCACCGCCGAACGAUCCGCAUGGCAAUGCAGGGUCGUGGGGUUACGCGAUAAGAUCCGUAACACUCCUUCAGAGAUGAAGUGGCGCUAUCACCCGA
rnacentral:ncRNA from 2 species